GAUCAUGGCUCAGGGUGAACGCUAGCUACAGGCUUAACACAUGCAAGUCGAGGGGCAGCGGGGUUGAAGCUUGCUUCAAUUGCCGGCGACCGGCGCACGGGUGAGUAACGCGUAUCCAACCUUCCGUACACUCAGGGAUAGCCUUUCGAAAGAAAGAUUAAUACCUGAUGGUAUGAUGAGAUUGCAUGAUAGCAUCAUUAAAGAUUCAUCGGUGUACGAUGGGG
rnacentral:rRNA from 1 species